rnacentral:tRNA from 1 species
GGUUCCACAGUGUAGUGGUUAGCACGUCUGUUUUACAUGCAUAAGGUCCUGGGUUCGCGCCCCAGGUGGAGCCA